AAGGGAUGAAAAGAUCGUCUGCUAGUGCCACCUGCUGUAGUGCUAACUAUUUCAAAAAAUUUCAAAAAUGUGCUUCCAAGAAUGUGCAAGGCGAGUAGGCCCUACUGCAGGCUGCAGAUUUUCGUGACAAAAAAAUGAAAUGGUUCCAGUUGACUUCUGCCUCAGUAUUGGAAAUUACACAUCAUUGGAAGGACGAACAUCCUGGUCUCAAGGUCAGUCAGUUUUAUUUUCGUCACUUAAAUGGAGUUUAAGAUGACUGAGAAAAUAUAGAGUUAAUUAGCCCUCUGUCCCGUAUUAUAGACAGAUAUACGUAACAGAAAGUAAUCUUCAAGGUUCGUUUUCUUUUUUGUGUUUGCAAUCACGUAAUUGUAUCGCAACAUUGGAUUAGUAAUCAUUUCCACCUUUGUUUAACCAUCUCCUGAAAUUUUUUUACCUUCUGUUCGAUUCAAUUCAAAUGAAAUGAAUGAUUAUCAUCA